UUAACUCAAAUUUGUAUGGAGUUGGAACGUUUACCUAAGUUAGCCGCUAGGAGUGCUGUUACAACUCCGUACAAAAUUGAGUUA
rfam:Bombyx mori DNA, contig: Bm_scaf29_contig18387, strain: p50T/Dazao, build 2, whole genome shotgun sequence.